GAUAAACGCUGGCGGCGCACAUAAGACAUGCAAGUCGAACGAACUUAAUUGAGAGCUUGCUCUCAAAGCGGUUAGUGGCGGACUGGUGAGUAACACGUAAGCAACCUGCCUAUUAGAGGGGAAUAACAGCGAGAAAUCGUUGCUAAUACCGCAUAUGCUGUGAGUAUCGCAUGAUACAAGCAGGAAAGGAGCAAUCCGCUAAUAGAUGGGCUUGCGUCUGAUUAGUUAGUUGGUGGGGUAACGGCCUACCAAGACGAUGAUCAGUAGCCGGACUGAGAGGUUGAACGGCCACAUUGGGACUGAGAUACGGCCCAGACUCCUACGGGAGGCAGCAGUCGGGAAUAUUGCGCAAUGGAGGAAACUCUGACGCAGUGACGCCGCGUGCAGGAAGAAGGUUUUCGGAUUGUAAACUGCUUUUAACAGGAAAGAAAAAAAUGACGGUACCUGUUGAAUAAGCU
rnacentral:rRNA from 1 species